UUUUUUUUUUACAAUUCUCAAUUUUAGUGUUUUAGCUAAAACUAUUACAAUGUAUUUUCGUUAAUUGUAAUAAAAUAAAAUAAAUUAAUUAAUUACUACAUGAAAAAUGUCUAUUAAAAAUAACUAAAUUACUAAAACUAAAAGUGAAAUAAAUUAAAGCUAAAUAGAAAUGUAAAAAAAAAAAAGACAACUGCACAAGAAUACUAAACUAUAGACUUAAUUAAAAGGUAAACAGAAUAUAAAAAUAUAAGCCAAUUCAAAAUAUUAAUACAGUACAUACUAUAAUAGUAAAUGAUACAAAUUAUAUAUUAAAAUAGCAUUGCUCCUUUUGUGUUCUAUAGAAGAAAAAGUCAUUCAGGUCUGGAAUAACAUAAGGAGUAUUAAAUGAUGACAGAAUCCACAUUGUUGGGUGAACUAUUACACAAUUUGGAUGAACUAAUAUACUGUAGAAUGAUUGGUCCCUAAGCCUCCAGACUUUUUAGUAAUAACAUAUGAGGCAGAAUCGAUAUAACUGCUUCCCAGAUGUUUAUUCCAUACUGAUGCAUUGCAUUGUAUUUUUAUAAAUGUACAUGUGUAAGUUUAUAAUGCAUAGGUCAAAAUGAAUUCACACUGUUGUUCUACUUGUUGCACAGUGCACACAUGGAUCCAGACUAUUUUAACCAAAUAGAAAAACCUGAGUAGGCCACUGAACCAUCUGGCAUUGGGAUCUAAGGGACCCAGAAUAGAUUAUGGAAGGAACUACAUACAUUUAUACCUGCAACCUGAAUCCACCAGUGACACAAAUGAGUUAAAUUUGUGUCAGUAGACCUUCCUGGCUAACUAUGUACAUGAUAAAAUUGGGUAAGACAGAAAAAUAAACCCUAUCCAUAACUUUUACCACGCUAAUAGAAGCCAGGGGAAGAUGAGUCGAGCUAAAUUUAAUUGAGAGUGUAAGUACAGUAGCUUCUGCUAAAUAUAUUAAGCCGCGUGUGGCUGAUGUAAAGCGCAGAACAGCUGUUUUGAAUUAGUUUUAAAAUAUACCAUUUCUUACAAGCAUGCAGUCUUUAGUUCCUUCAGUGUUUUGGCUUUUUGCUGCUAAAAAGAAUAACUAUCUGGAUAACAUUUUCAAAAAUCAGGACAAAAUCUUCUGUACAGGCUUUAGGAAAUAGUUUUUGCCAGCAAGAAAAUGAGUCAGUCACAAGUGGCUUUUUUAAAGUGGAUAUAACAAAAGUAUUCACAUUCCUGCAGGAGUUUACGAGUCUUGGAAGCGCGAGAAGUAAACACCUCCCAUUUCUGAGCAUCUCAGGACACUGAGCAACAGACUCAACACAGCUAAAAAGAAAUACGCAAGUACUGAGAAAAAACUAAAUAAAAUUCACUUUGGAAUGCUGAAUCAUACUGUCAGCGAACAUCAAUGGUGCUUUUAUCAACGGAGACUGUUUAGCGGUUCGCAAGCGCUAAAUAGGUAUAGCUCAGCCAAAUUUGUCUUCAUCGUUUACUCACUCUUGAGACAUUUCCAAACCUGUAUGACACUAUUUCUUCCAUAAACCACAUAAGAAGACAUUUUGAAAAAUGUUUCCGGAAAAAUUUCAACAUCGAUUGGACCCCAUAGUUUUUCGUUUUCCGGAUAAAAACAUUCUUUUAAAUAUCUGUCUUUCUUGUUCCACACAAGAUGACGAUGAGUGAAUAAUGUCAGAAUGUUUGUUUUUGGGUGUACUAUCCCUUUAAAAACCUUCAAGCUGCAAAGACAAGCUUGUAUUCUGUACAAAAUCUGGUCAAGCUGAGAGACUUCCCCUCGACCGAACACUGCUUUAUGUUGCCGGGACCCUCUGUCAUGCUGUUUCAAAGAAACGGAUGGCCAUACAGUUUUCCACUUCACCCAAGUGCUAAUUUGUCAUGCACCACACAACUUGCAAAAACCAUAAAAACUAUCUAUCGGGCAUCCAAAUCUUUGGGGUCCUUCCAGCCGGAUAACUGGUGUAAUAAAGAACGACACACAGAUGAGGAUAAAAAGGAAGGAAUGAGAGAAUGAGGCCUUCACUGCAGGCUCUUGGGUUGCAUUCAGCUCCCACAUCACCACAUGGAGGGCGCUCACUUCCUCUUCUUCUCUCCUUUUUUUUUCUCACUCUCUCUCGCUCUUUGUUAAAAACCAGACUCAACAGCAAACAGUUUAUGUUCAUGUGAGAAAAGCUCAGAGUGCUGGGAGAUGUCUGUUUGGUUAAGUGAUCUGUUGUACCAACAAGGUGUGAGAAGCAGAAACAAAAGAUGCCUUUGUGUUUUUAGUCUGGGAUUAACUCCAGUAAUGAUAAAACAUGUAUACCAGAUUAAACCAGCUGGCUGUGAGAGGCAGACUAAACACACUGUGGAUUUUAUACAAUGAAGAAUUAGGAUAGAAAUAAAUGUCAGAAAUUAUAACUGUGAAUCAAUGGUUUUAAAGAAAAGUUUAACCAAAAUAAAUAUUUGGCUAUAAUUUACUCCAAUUUUAUAUUACUCCAAUUCUUAAAAAGUUUAAAUGCCAAGCUUAAAGAACACUCUAAAAAACGCUGGGUUGUUUUUUCAACCCAACUGCUGGGUUGAGGCCGUUUGAUAGGACUUUGGGAUGUUUUAACCCAAGUUUGGGUUGAAAAUAACUUUCUUUUUUAACCCAGCGGGGUGGGUUGAGGACGCGGACGUGAAGGAGAGCACGCACGUCACGUCAAAAUCGUACGUCUCCUGUGCGAGCAGCCGCCAUUUUCUCAGCGUGAUAGAAGCGAGAAGCGAGUGAAAGACUAUGACUUGUCCAGCUCCUGUCUUCAUUGUCCUCGCGCUGAGAGUUAAAGACACAGAAGCUGUUUGUCUGAGGAGUCACAGACCUGUGUGAGGAUGAGGAGGAGGUGUUCUUCUGAAGAGUGUGACAGACGGUUUAAGGAGAGUAAACUUCAGAAUAACAUCAAGUUAUCUUUAUUUUUACUAAGACUAAAAUAAUGUGUGUUUUUUUAGAUGUUGAAAUCCAGAGACAAGAUAACUUCAUUCUUUUGAGACUGAUAACUCAAACUAACUGAAGUUAAGGACACACAAGUGCUUGUGUGAGGAGGUGGUUUUCUCAGCUUCUUCUGAAGAGAGGGAAAGAUCGUUUAAG